rnacentral:lncRNA from 1 species
ACAUGUUCCAAACAACAAAAUACAUCUGAUCUGAACAAACUUGGUUAUACUACUUUGUACACAAAAUUUGUACAUCUUUACAGAUUGAUGAUUAAUUGUAUGAAACAGCAACAAUCAAUAGUCCUUACAUAUUAUCUGCAAAACAAAGCAAGCAAUAGGUUGAUCAAGUUAAAAAAAAACAAUUUCCAGUUCCUACAGCAACAAUAUCUUAAUCAUCAAGCAUACAAAAGGCUGAUCUGGAAAAGAAAAAAAAAGAAAACACUAGAAAAACCAGUUGCAGUUGGAACAGUAACUUCAUGAUCUAGCAAACCAAAAACAGCAUACCAGAUUUCAUAAGAGCAAGUAAUAGGCUGAUCUGGAAAGAAAAAAAAAAAAACCAAGUUGCAGUUGCAACAGUAACUUCAUCAUCAAGCAAACCAAAACAGCAAUAGCAGAUUUUAUAAUAGCAAGGACUAUUGGCUGAUCUGGUAAAAAUAGAAAAAAUAAAAUAUUCCAGUUGUAGUAGCAUAGCAGAUCUGCAAGAAAGCAAGCAAUAGGCUAAUCAAGUUAAAAAAAAAUUCCAGUUCUAACAAUAAAUUAAACAUGUUUCAACCAUAUUACUAUCAAUACCAGAUCUGCAAAACAAAGAUAAGCAUAGCAGAUCUGCAACACAAAACAUAGAAUAGGCUGAUCAGUCUAAAAAAAAAAUCCAGUUCCAGUGCAACAGUAACUUAAUCAUGAAGCAAACAAAGAUAAGUAUAGCAGAUCUGCAACACAAAGCAUAUAAUAGACAUCAGUUAAAAAAAAAAUUAAAUAGGCUGAUCAGAUUUUAAAAAAAAAUAACAUUCCAGUUGCAACAGAUCUGCAAAACAAGCAACCAUAUAUGGAUCACUUAAAAAAAAACAACUAUAUAAAACUUACAAGCAAUAAACAACCAAUCACUCUACAAAAUAAGCAUUGUAUUCACCUGUAGAUGAACAACUAUCCUCAUCCAUAUUACUCGAAUUUGAAUCUCCAUCCUUACUAAUAGCAGGUCUACAUAAAUAAGCAUUG